GACGAACGUUGGCGGCGUGCUUAACACAUGCAAGUCGAACGGAAAGGCCCUGCUUUUGUGGGGUGCUCGAGUGGCGAACGUGUGAGUAACACGUGAGUAACCUGCCCUUGACUUUGGGAUAACUUCAGGAAACUGGGGCUAAUACCGGAUAGGAGCUCCUGCUGCAUGGUGGGGGUUGGAAAGUUUCGGCGGUUGGGGAUGGACUCGCGGCUUAUCAGCUUGUUGGUGGGGUAGUGGCUUACCAAGGCUUUGACGGGUAGCCGGCCUGAGAGGGUGACCGGCCACAUUGGGACUGAGAUACGGCCCAGACUCCUACGGGAGGCAGCAGUGGGGAAUAUUGCACAAUGGGCGGAAGCCUGAUGCAGCAACGCCGCGUGCGGGAUGACGGCCUUCGGGUUGUAAACCGCUUUCGCCUGUGACGAAGCGUGAGUGACGGUAAUGGGUAAAGAAGCACCGGCUAACUACGUGCCAGCAGCCGCGGUGAUACGUAGGGUGCGAGCGUUGUCCGGAUUUAUUGGGCGUAAAGGGCUCGUAGGUGGUUGAUCGCGUCGGAAGUGUAAUCUUGGGGCUUAACCCUGAGCGUGCUUUCGAUACGGGUUGACUUGAGGAAGGUAGGGAGAAAUGGAAUUCCUGGUGGAGCGGUGGAAUGCGCAGAUAUCAGGAGGAACACCAGUGGCGAAGGCGGUUCUCUGGGCCUUUCCUGACGCUGAGGAGCGAAAGCGUGGGGAGCGAACAGGCUUAGAUACCCUGGUAGUCCACGCUGUAAACGGUGGGUACUAGGUGUGAGGUCCAUUCCACGGGUUCCGUGCCGUAGCUAACGCUUUAAGUACCCCGCCUGGGGAGUACGGCCGCAAGGCUAAAACUCAAAGGAAUUGACGGGGCCCCGCACAAGCGGCGGAGCAUGCGGAUUAAUUCGAUGCAACGCGUAGAACCUUACCUGGGUUUGACAUGGAUCGGGAGUGCUCAGAGAUGGGUGUGCCUCUUUUGGGGUCGGUUCACAGGUGGUGCAUGGCUGUCGUCAGCUCGUGUCGUGAGAUGUUGGGUUAAGUCCCGCAACGAGCGCAGCCCUUGUUCACUGUUGCCAGCACGUUAUGGUGGGGACUCAGUGGAGACCGCCGGGGUCAACUCGGAGGAAGGUGGGGAUGACGUCAAGUCAUCAUGCCCCUUAUGUCCAGGGCUUCACGCAUGCUACAAUGGCUGGUACAGAGAGUGGCGAGCCUGUGAGGGUGAGCGAAUCUCGGAAAGCCGGUCUCAGUUCGGAUUGGGGUCUGCAACUCGACCUCAUGAAGUCGGAGUCGCUAGUAAUCGCAGAUCAGCAACGCUGCGGUGAAUACGUUCCCGGG
rnacentral:rRNA from 1 species